rnacentral:rRNA from 1 species
AUUGAACGCUGGCGGCAUGCCUUACACAUGCAAGUCGAACGGUAACGGGUCCUUCGGGAUGCCGACGAGUGGCGAACGGGUGAGUAAUAUAUCGGAACGUGCCCAGUAGUGGGGGAUAACUGCUCGAAAGAGCAGCUAAUACCGCAUACGACCUGAGGGUGAAAGGGGGGGAUCGCAAGACCUCUCGCUAUUGGAGCGGCCGAUAUCAGAUUAGCUAGUUGGUGGGUAAAGGCCUACCAAGGCAACGAUCUGUAGUUGGUCUGAGAGGACGACCAGCCACACUGGGACUGAGACACGGCCCAGACUCCUACGGGAGGCAGCAGUGGGGAAUUUUGGACAAUGGGCGCAAGCCUGAUCCAGCAAUGCCGCGUGCAGGAAGAAGGCCUUCGGGUUGUAAACCGCUUUUAGUCGGGAGAAAGGACGGGUAAUACUCCGUGUUCUUGACGGUACCGGCGGAUAAGCACCGGCUAACUACGUGCCAGCAGCCGCGGUAAUACGUAG